CGAGCACGCGCGUGUGGCAUAUCAAUAAGCGGAGGAAAAGAAACUAACAAGGAUUCCCUUAGUAACGGCGAGUGAAGCGGGAAGAGCUCAAAUUUGAAAUCUUCAAGGUUCUACCUUGACGAAUUGUAGUUUAUAGAAGUGUUUUCUGUUAGUGGAGUGGCAAAAGUUCUUUGGAAUAGGACAUCAUAGAGGGUGAGAAUCCCGUAUUUGGUCAUUCCUCCUAGCGUUGUGAUACACUUUCAACGAGUCGGAUUGUUUGGGAAUGCAGUCCAAAGUGGGUGGUAAAUUUCAUCUAAAGCUAAAUAUUGGCGAGAGACCGAUAGCGAACAAGUACCGUGAGGGAAAGAUGAAAAGAACUUUGAAAAGAGAGUUAAACAGUACGUGAAAUUGUCAAAAGGGAAGCGUUUGACACCAGUGUUGUUUUUCCGAAAAUCAAUUACGAAUGUUUUAUUUUUGAGGAGUUAUGACUUCAUCGGCUUGCUCCUUUCUUUGCGAAACUUUCUUAAUGCACUUUUCGGUUAACAAGUCAACAUCAAUUUCUUUUGUUGUAAAAGGGUAUGAGGAAGGUGGCUUUCUUUUCGGAGAAAGUGUUUAUAGCCUUGUGCCUCUGCAAUCGGAGAGAUUGAGGUCUGCAGCGUAGAUCCUUCGGGGUUAGAUACGUUUGUGCUAAGUUAUAGCUUUUCAUAGACAACUUGUUGACUAUGUUUAGUCUUGUAGCUUACUCGCUGACGCUAUUUUACCUACGCUUAGGAUGUUGAACUCUAUCACACACAG
rnacentral:rRNA from 1 species